AGAACAGCCAAUGACUUAAAACAUUUAAGUGCAUAUAUCUUGCCACAAGACAUGUGCGCUAAGCUAGCCAAAUGAGUUUCUGUUAGCGAAUCAAGUUCAAGCUCCUCACAUAUCAUCAUCCAGGGUACAGUCAUAUGCUCAUGAGGAGAUCCCACGCAGGUGAAGGUGCUGCCCACCCAUGAUACCAGCAAGGUGCGUGCAAGUGGAUCCGGCCUUAACACCACUGGAGCGCCCACCUCUCUGCCAGUGAAGGUCACCAUUGAUGCCAAAGAUGCAGGACCCAGAGGGGAAGCCCAAGAAGCAGAUAUCUGUGACAGCCAUGAUGGGACCUACCUGGUGUUU